GACGCUUUCUUCCCUCUGGGAGGAAUCCCGGAGCGAUGGGACGAGGCUCUCCCGCCCGCCGGGCUCCAGGAUGCCGCGGCUCUCCCAGCUCCGGCUUGGGCCCCUCCGGCGGUGCCCGGCCGGUACCGUGAAGCCGCCGCUCGGCCUUCGGUGUAGUUGCCCCGGACACGGCGGGACGCCCUCCCCGGGUAUUCGGUACCCACGUGCAUUUUGCUGCCGCCGAUCUCCGUUCGAUGCGAAGCUUCGCAACUCCGAGUUCGCGAGGCGCAUCUGAGGUUCCCCCAAUGAAGUUAGCAAAGCAGUGUCCCGUGCAGGUCGUUUUUCCUGUUUCUCACAGCGUUAACUAGGUUGACAGAACCUGGUAGCUGAAAAGGCCUCGCUGCUAAGCCCUCUGAUUAUUCGAGGUUGGGGGACGAAGGAGGAGGACUAGAAUGCCGGCAAAUCUCUUUCCUUCAGGUGCCACUAACCCAAUCAACUAUAG
rnacentral:lncRNA from 1 species